rnacentral:rRNA from 1 species
GACGAACGCUGGCGGCGUGCUUAACACAUGCAAGUCGAACGGUAAGGCCCUUCGGGGUACACGAGUGGCGAACGGGUGAGUAACACGUGGGUGAUCUGCCCUGCACUUCGGGAUAAGCCUGGGAAACUGGGUCUACUACCGGAUAGGACCCUGGGAUGCAUGUCCUGGGGUGGAAAGCUUUUGCGGUGUGGGAUGGGCCCGCGGCCUAUCAGCUUGUUGGGGGGGUGAUGGCCUACCAAGGCGAAGACGGGUAGCCGACCUGAGAGGGGGACCGGCCACACUGGGACUGAGAUACGGCCCAGACGCCUACGGGAGGCAGCGGUGGGGAAUAUUGCACAAUGGGCGCAAGCCGGAUGCAGCGACGCCGCGUGAGGGAUGACGGCCUUCGGGUUGUAAACCGCUUUCAGCACCGACGAAGCGCAAGUGACGGUAGGGGCAGAAGAAGGACCGGCCAACUACGUGCCAGCAGCCGCCGUAA